UACGUAGGGGGCAAGCGUUGUCCGGAUUUAUUGGGCGUAAAGAGCGUGUAGGCGGCCAAGCAGGUCCGCUGUGAAAACUCGAGGCUCAACCUCGAGACGUCGGUGGAAACCGUUUGGCUAGAGUCCGGAAGAGGAGAGUGGAAUUCCCGGUGUAGCGGUGAAAUGCGCAGAUAUCGGGAAGAACACCCGUGGCGAAGGCGGCUCUCUGGGACGGUACUGACGCGUGAGACGCGAAAGCGUCGGGGAGCGAACAGG
rnacentral:rRNA from 1 species